GACAUGUCUGGAAUCUUGGUGAGAGCUGAGGGUGCCUUCGGGAGCCAGAACACAGGUGCUGCACGGCUGUCGUCAGCUCGUGUCGUGAGAUUGUUGGGUUAAGUCCCGCAACGAGCGCAACCCUUGUCACUAGUUGCCAUCAUUUGGUUGGGCACUCUAGUGAGACUGCCGGUGACAAACCGGAGGAAGGUGGGGAUGACGUCAAGUCCUCAUGGCCCUUAUGGGUAGGGCUUCACACGUCAUACAAUGGUCGGUACAGAGGGUUGCCAAGCCGCGAGGUGGAGCCAAUCCCUUAAAGCCGAUCGUAGUCCGGAUCGUAGUCUGCAACUCGACUACGUGAAGUCGGAAUCGCUAGUAAUCGCAGAUCAGCAUGCUGCGGUGAAUACGUUCCCGGGUCUU
rnacentral:rRNA from 1 species